rnacentral:rRNA from 1 species
GGGGGGGGGGGGGGGGGGGGGGGGGGGGGGGGGGGCGGGGGGGGGCGCGGGAGGGGGUGGGGGGGGGGGGGGGGGGGGGGCGGACGGGGGAGGAAGAGAUCGGGAUCUACUGGUUCGUGGGGGAUAACGUAGGGGAACUUACGCUAAUACCGCAUACGACCUACGGGUGAAAGCAGGGGAUCUUCGGACCUUGCGCGAUUGAAUGAGCCGAUGUCGGAUUAGCUAGUUGGCGGGGUAAAGGCCCACCCAGGCGACGCUCCGUAGCUGGUCUGAGAGGAUGAUCAGCCACACUGGAACUGAGACACGGUCCAGACUCCUACGGGAGGCAGCAGUGGGGAAUAUUGGACAAUGGGCGCAAGCCUGAUCCAGCCAUACCGCGUGGGUGAAGAAGGCCUUCGGGUUGUAAAGCCCUUUUGUUGGGAAAGAAAAGCAGCAGGUUAAUACCCCGCUGUUCUGACGGUACCCAAAGAAUAAGCACCGGCUAACUUCGUG